GACGAACGCUGGCGGCGUGCUUAACACAUGCAAGUCGAACGAUGAAGCCGGAGCUUGCUCUGGUGAAUUAGUGGCGAACGGGUGAGUAACACGUGAGUAACCUGCCCUUGACUCUGGGAUAACUGCGGGAAACUGUAGCUAAUACCGGAUACGACCCUCGGAGGCAUCUCCUGGGGGUGGAAAGAAUUUCGGUCAAGGAUGGACUCGCGGCCUAUCAGCUAGUGGGUGAGGUAAAGGCUCACCAAGGCGACGACGGGUAGCCGGCCUGAGAGGGUGACCAGCCACACUGGGACUGAGACACGGCCCAGACUCCUACGGGAGGCAGCAGUGGGGAAUAUUGCACAAUGGGCGCAAGCCUGAUGCAGCAACGCCGCGUGAGGGAUGACGGCCUUCGGGUUGUAAACCUCUUUUAGCAGGGAAGAAGCGAAAGUGACGGUACCUGCAGAAAAAGCACCGGCUAACUACGUGCCAGCAGCCGCAGUAA
rnacentral:rRNA from 1 species